UAUUGGACAAUGGGCGAAAGCCUGAUCCAGCCAUGCCGCGUGUGUGAAGAAGGUCUUCGGAUUGUAAAGCACUUUAAGUCGCCCCGAAGGGCAGUUACCUAAUACGUGAUUGUUUUGACGUUACCGACAGAAUAAGCACCGGCUAACUCUGUGCCAGCAGCCGCGGUAAUACAGAGGGUGCAAGCGUUAAUCGGAAUUACUGGGCGUAAAGCGCGCGUAGGUGGUUUGUUAAGUUGGAUGUGAAAUCCCCGGGCUCAACCUGGGAACUGCAUUCAAAACUGACUGACUAGAGUAUGGUAGAGGGUGGUGGAAUUUCCUGUGUAGCGGUGAAAUGGGUAGAUAUAGGAAGGAACACCAGGGGAAGGGGACCACCGGAAUAAUACUACAUAGGGGAAA
rnacentral:rRNA from 1 species